rnacentral:rRNA from 1 species
UUAUGUGAUCGUCUCUCGCAUAUCAAUAAGCGGAGGAAAAGAAACUAACAAGGAUUCCCCUAGUAACGGCGAGUGAAGCGGGAAGAGCUCAAAUUUGAAAUCUUAAAGGGUUUCCCUUUACGAAUUGUAGUUUAAAGAAGUGUUUUCUGUUGAGGUUUUGGUAAAAGUUCUUUGGAAUAGGACAUCAUAGAGGGUGAGAAUCCCGUAUUUGACCUUUACUUUCAACUUUGUGAUACACUUUCAAAGAGUCGGAUUGUUUGGGAAUGCAGUCCAAAAUGGGUGGUAAAUUUCAUCUAAAGCUAAAUAUUGGCGAGAGACCGAUAGCGAACAAGUACCGUGAGGGAAAGAUGAAAAGAACUUUGAAAAGAGAGUUAAACAGUACGUGAAAUUGUCAAAAGGGAAGCGUUUGACACCAGUGUUGUUUUUCUGAAAAUCAAUUAAAGAACUGUUUAUGCUAAGUUGUUUAGACUUUAUCAGCUAACUGUUUAGUUUUGAGCUUUUCUUUAAUGCACUUUUCAGUUAACAAGUCAACAUCAAUUUCUUUUGCUGUAAAAAAGCUUGAGGAAGGUGGCUUGAGAUUCGUCUUAAGUGUUUAUAGCCUCUUGCCUAUGCAGUCGGAGAGAUUGAGGUCUGCAGCGUAGAUCCUUCGGGGCUAAAUGCAUUUGUGCUAAGUUAUAGCAUUUUAUAGACAACUUGUUGACUAUGAUUUGUCUUGUAGCUUACUCGCUUAUGUUAUUUUACCUACGCUUAGGAUGUUGAUCUACAGAGCGAGAGU